UGUGUUGUGGUCUAGCGGUUAGAACGCUGGCCUUGUAAUCCUGGGGUCUCGGGUUCGAUUCCCGGCGGUGCCC
rnacentral:tRNA from 1 species